rnacentral:rRNA from 1 species
GACGAACGCUGGCGGCGUGCUUAACACAUGCAAGUCGAACGAUGAAGCGGUGCUUGCCCCGUGGCUUAGUGGCGAACGGGUGAGUAAUACGUGAGUGACCUACCUUUGACUCUGGGAUAAGCCUGGGAAACUGGGUCUAAUACCGGAUACGACCAAUCUCUGCAUGGGGUGUUGGUGGAAAGCGUUAUGGAGUGGUUUUAGAUGGGCUCACGGCCUAUCAGCUUGUUGGUGAGGUAAUGGCUUACCAAGGCGACGACGGGUAGCCGGCCUGAGAGGGUGACCGGCCACACUGGGACUGAGACACGGCCCAGACUCCUACGGGAGGCAGCAGUGGGGAAUAUUGCACAAUGGGCGCAAGCCUGAUGCAGCGACGCCGCGUGAGGGAUGACGGCCUUCGGGUUGUAAACCUCUGUUAGCAUCGAAGAAGCGAAAGUGACGGUAGGUGCAGAGAAAGCGCCGGCUAACUACGUG